CAACAAAUCCGAUACCGAGCUGUUUUGACUAAGUUUUGUUAUCAAAAUACGCCAUCUCAGCCUGUUCCAAGCGAUUGUUUUGCAAAACUUUUGCAAAAUUUUACCGCUUGCAACACAGGAUAGCGAAGAAAUGAACUAUCCCCUCGUGCUUAGAAAGGUGUCAUAUUUAACUUACU
rnacentral:ncRNA from 2 species